rnacentral:rRNA from 1 species
ACGAGUGGCGGACGGGUGAGUAACACGUAGGUAACCUGCCCAGAAGCGGGGGACAACAUUUGGAAACAGAUGCUAAUACCGCAUAACAGCGUUGUUCGCAUGAACAACGCUUAAAAGAUGGCUUCUCGCUAUCACUUCUGGAUGGACCUGCGGUGCAUUAGCUUGUUGGUGGGGUAACGGCCUACCAAGGCGAUGAUGCAUAGCCGAGUUGAGAGACUGAUCGGCCACAAUGGGACUGAGACACGGCCCAUACUCCUACGGGAGGCAGCAGUAGGGAAUCUUCCACAAUGGGCGCAAGCCUGAUGGAGCAACACCGCGUGAGUGAAGAAGGGUUUCGGCUCGUAAAGCUCUGUUGUUAAAGAAGAACACGUAUGAGAGUAACUGUUCAUACGUUGACGGUAUUUAACCAGAAAGUCACGGCUAACUACGUGCCAGCAGCCGCGGUAAUACGUAGGUGGCAAGCGUUAUCCGGAUUUAUUGGGCGUAAAGAGAGUGCAGGCGGUUUUCUAAGUCUGAUGUGAAAGCCUUUCGGCUUAACCGGAGAAGUGCAUCGGAAACUGGAUAACUUGAGUGCAGAAGAGGGUAGUGGAACUCCAUGUGUAGCGGUGGAAUGCGUAGAUAUAUGGAAGAACACCAGUGGCGAAGGCGGCUACCUGGUCUGCAACUGACGCUGAGACUCGAAAGCAUGGGUAGCGAACAGGAUUAGAUACCCUGGUAGUCCAUGCCGUAAACGAUGAGUGCUAGGUGUUGGAGGGUUUCCGCCCUUCAGUGCCGGAGCUAACGCAUUAAGCACUCCGCCUGGGGAGUACGACCGCAAGGUUGAAACUCAAAGGAAUUGACGGGGGCCCGCACAAGCGGUGGAGCAUGUGGUUUAAUUCGAAGCUACGCGAAGAACCUUACCAGGUCUUGACAUCUUGCGCCAACCCUAGAGAUAGGGCGUUUCCUUCGGGAACGCAAUGACAGGUGGUGCAUGGUCGUCGUCAGCUCGUGUCGUGAGAUGUUGGGUUAAGUCCCGCAACGAGCGCAACCCUUGUUACUAGUUGCCAGCAUUAAGUUGGGCACUCUAGUGAGACUGCCGGUGACAAACCGGAGGAAGGUGGGGACGACGUCAGAUCAUCAUGCCCCUUAUGACCUGGGCUACACACGUGCUACAAUGGACGGUACAACGAGUCGCGAACUCGCGAGGGCAAGCAAAUCUCUUAAAACCGUUCUCAGUUCGGACUGCAGGCUGCAACUCGCCUGCACGAAGUCGGAAUCGCUAGUAAUCGCGGAUCAGCAUGCCGCGGUGAAUACGUUCCCGGGCCUUGUACACACCGCCCGUCACACCAUGAGAGUUUGUAACACCCAAAGUCGGUGGGGUAACCUUUUAGGAGCCAGCCGCCUAAGGUGG